rnacentral:misc_RNA from 1 species
GAUGAAGAACGCAGCGAAAUGCGAUAAGUAAUGUGAAUUGCAGAAUUCAGUGAAUCAUCGAAUCUUUGAACGCACAUUGCGCUCGCCAGUAUUCUGGCGAGCAUGCCUGUUCGAGCGUCAUUUCAACCAUCAAGCUCUGCUUGCGUUGGGGAUCCGCGUCUGACGCGGUCCCUCAAAAACAGUUGGCGGUCUCGCUAGUCACACCGAGCGUAGUAACUCUACAUCGCUAUGGUCGUGCGGCGGGUUCUUGCCGUAAAACCCCCAAUUUUUUAAGGUUGACCUCGGAUCAGGUAGGAAUACCCGCUGAACUUAAGCAUAUCAAUAAGCGGAGGA